AGUGAACGCUGGCGGUAGGCCUAACACAUGCAAGUCGAACGGCAGCACAGGAGAGCUUGCUCUCUGGGUGGCGAGUGGCGGACGGGUGAGGAAUACAUCGGAAUCUACUCUGUCGUGGGGGAUAACGUAGGGAAACUUACGCUAAUACCGCAUACGACCUACGGGUGAAAGCAGGGGACCUUCGGGCCUUGCGCGAUUGAAUGAGCCGAUGUCGGACUAGCUAGUUGGCGGGGUAAAGGCCCACCAAGGCGACGAUCCGUAGCUGGUCUGAGAGGGUGAUCAGCCACACUGGAACUGAGACACGGUCCAGACUCCUACGGGAGGCAGCAGUGGGGAAUAUUGGACAAUGGGCGCAAGCCUGAUCCAGCCAUACCGCGUGGGUGAAGAAGGCCUUCGGGUUGUAAAGCCCUUUUGUUGGGAAGGAAAUCCAGCUGGCUAAUACCCGGUUGGGAUGACGGUACCCAAAGAAUAAGCACCGGCUAACUUCGUGCCAGCAGCCGCCGUAA
rnacentral:rRNA from 1 species